rnacentral:rRNA from 1 species
GAUGAACGCUGGCGGCGUGCUUAACACAUGCAAGUCGAACGAAGCACUUGAAGUUUUUCGGAAUGGAAAGUGACUGAGCGGCGGACGGGUGAGUAACGCGUGGGUAACCUGCCUCAUACAGGGGGAUAACAGUUAGAAAUGACUGCUAAUACCGCAUAAGCGCACAGUACCGCAUGGUACGGUGUGAAAAACUCCGGUGGUAUGAGAUGGACCCGCGUCUGAUUAGCUAGUUGGUGAGGUAACGGCUCACCAAGGCGACGAUCAGUAGCCGACCUGAGAGGGUGACCGGCCACAUUGGGACUGAGACACGGCCCAAACUCCUACGGGAGGCAGCAGUGGGGAAUAUUGCACAAUGGGCGAAAGCCUGAUGCAGCGACGCCGCGUGAACGAAGAAGUAUUUCGGUAUGUAAAGUUCUAUCAGCAGGGAAGAAAAUGACGGUACCUGACUAAGAAGCACCGGCUAAAUACGUGCCAGCAGCCGCAGUAACAC